rnacentral:rRNA from 1 species
GAUGAACGCUAGCGGCAGGCUUAAUACAUGCAAGUCGAGGGGCAGCAUGGUGUAGCAAUACACUGAUGGCGACCGGCAAACGGGUGCGGAACACGUACAGAACCUUCCUUCGAGCGGGGAAUAGCCCAGAGAAAUUUGGAUUAAUACCCCAUAGUAUAAUGGAGAGGCAUCUCUUUAUUAUUAAAGAUUUAUCACUUGAAGAUGGCUGUGCGGCUGAUUAGGUAGUUGGCGGGGUAAUGGCCCACCAAGCCUACGAUCAGUAACUGGUGUGAGAGCACGACCAGUCACACGGGCACUGAGACACGGGCCUGACUCCUACGGGAGGCAGCAGUAAGGAAUAUUGGUCAAUGGACGAAAGUCUGAACCAGCCAUGCCGCGUGAAGGAUGAAGGUCCUCUGGAUUGUAAACUUCUUUUAUAUGGGACGAAAAAAGGGUUUUCUAACUCGUCUGACGGUACCAUAUGAAUAAGCACCGGCUAACUCCGUGCCAGCCGCCGCUGUAAAAC